CAAUCACAUCUUCGCUGGCCUCCCCAACUUCAUUUGUUCCCCUCACUUAUUCUGAAGUUCUUCUGAAAUUGAAAACAGACAAGAACGAAUUAAGUCUGUGGUGAGGGAAAGAAACCUAAAGCCUGAGAAGAGUGAGGCUGGUGCAGCCGAUUACACUCUUCCAGUAAGCUUCUGAAGCCGUUCCUCACCAAGACACCCUGUGCCGUGUGGCCCGGAGGGCUGAGGACCUCUGAUGCCUCCUAAGGUGACUGACAAGCCCAAUCAACAGGAGAACUGACGGGGCUUAAGGGAUGGAGAGAUAGACUGUCCCCCUCAUUGUAAGUGUGUAAUUUGAUACAACUCCUCCUCAGGAUAAAACAACACUUUUAGCUAAACUCAGAACUUGAAAAUAAGCAAGUUUGAAGUUUAGAAUUCUGAAUGAGCCUGGCACACAAAAAGCACUUAAUAAAUGCACAUUCAGUGCACGAAUGAAUAAAUCUACAGAACAGCUCUUUUCGUAGUCAAAGAACAUUUAUGGAGAUCACCGUUCUAUUCGAUACUCUCCAGCUAGUCUCCCUCCGCUCCUAUGAGCUCUCGUGAAUACAUACAUCUUCUUAAAACGUGGCCCGUCGCCCAACAGUCAUCUACGUGUUUAAUGACCCUGGCUGCCAAUGCCAGCCAGCCCGAGUCCACAUGCUGAAUAUGAAGGAUUCAAGAACUAAACCCCAGCGUCAUGAAACAGAUGAGUCUUCUGCCUCUGCCCUGGAUGAGGCCUCAACACCUCCCUCCCCAGCCUGGGCUACUUCCAUGGGCUCCUAAACACUCAUUCUCACCCUGGGCUCCUCACUGCCCAGCACACAGUGAACAGCCCAAAGGAGGUUUUCUAAACUCAAGAAUCAAGCACUAGGUUUUGCUCCUUGGGUCUCAGUAGAAAAAGGCGAGUCACUCCAGCCUGCUUAGUCCCAGCUAAUGCUUUCUCUCUGACCGAAUAAUCCCAUGCAGGUAGACCCUGAGGACUAUACCCAUGAGUUUGGGGGAAAAUUAAAGAGGUAUACAAAUGACUCAUCUUAUCACCCAAGUUCUCCCAGACCAACCAAGUGGGAAAAAAUGAAGAUCUCUGACUAGAUCUUUACGAGAACCUGGGCCGAGGCCCUCUGGUAAGUAUAGGGCCCGUGGAGCAAAGCAGCACUGGGCUUUUCUGAGUGA